UACGUAGGGGGCGAGCGUUGUCCGGAUUUAUUGGGCGUAAAAGGCUUGUAGGUGGCCACGCCAAGUCGGAUGUGAAAUCUCCCGGCUCAACUGGGAGGGGUCAUUCGAUACUGGCGGGCUCGAGGCCGGUAGGGGGAAGUGGAAUUCCCGGUGUAGUGGUGGAAUGCGUAGAUAUCUGGAGGAACACCGGUGGCGAAGGCGGCAUCCUGGACCGGCAUUGACGCUGAGGCGCGAAAGCUAGGGGAGCAAACGGG
rnacentral:rRNA from 1 species